AACGCACCUUGCACUCUUUGGUAUUCCGAAGAGUAUGUCUGUUUGAGUGUCAUGAAACUCUCAACCCCCCUAUUUUGUAAUGAGAUAGGUGCGGGCUUGGUUUAUGGCUGUCUGCUGGUAUCUUAACUGAUCCGGCUCAGCUGAAAUAUACGAGCGACCCGGUUUUCAAAUCAUUGAAUAGGACGGCUUGACUCGGCGUAAUAACUAUUUCGCUGAGGACGUCUCAUUUGUAACCUGAAAAUUUAGUGGUGCUUCUAAUGUGACUUGCGAAAUAUCAAGUCGAUUUAAGCUUUAGACCUCAAAUCAGUCAGGACUACCCGCUGAACUUAA
rnacentral:misc_RNA from 2 species